rnacentral:rRNA from 1 species
GAUGAACGCUGGCGGCGUGCCUAAUACAUGCAAGUCGAGCGAACAGAUGAGGAGCUUGCUCCUCUGACGUUAGCGGCGGACGGGUGAGUAACACGUGGAUAACCUACCUAUAAGACUGGGAUAACUUCGGGAAACCGGAGCUAAUACCGGAUAAUAUAUUGAACCGCAUGGUUCAAUAGUGAAAGACGGUUUUGCUGUCACUUAUAGAUGGAUCCGCGCCGCAUUAGCUAGUUGGUAAGGUAACGGCUUACCAAGGCAACGAUGCGUAGCCGACCUGAGAGGGUGAGCGGCCACACUGGAACUGAGACACGGUCCAGACUCCUACGGGAGGCAGCAGUAGGGAAGCUGCCGCAAUGGGCGAAAGCCUGACGGAGCAACGCCGCGUGAGUGAUGAAGGUCUUCGGAUCGUAAACCUCUGUUAUUAGGGAAGAACAAAUGUGUAAGUAACUAUGCACGUCUGGACGGUACCUAAGCAGAAAGCCACGGCUAACUACGU